rnacentral:rRNA from 1 species
UAGUUGGUAGGGUAAAGGCCUACCAAGGCGACGAUCAGUAGCCGGCCUGAGAGGGUGAACGGCCACACUGGAACUGAGACACGGUCCAGACUCCUACGGGAGGCAGCAGUGGGGAAUAUUGCACAAUGGGGGAAACCCUGAUGCAGCGACGCCGCGUGAGUGAAGAAGGUCUUCGGAUCGUAAAACUCUGUCCUUGGUGAAGAUAAUGACGGUAGCCAAGGAGGAAGCCCCGGCUAACUACGUGCCAGCAGCCGCGGUAAUACGUAGGGGGCUAGCGUUGUCCGGAUUUACUGGGCGUAAAGGGUGAGUAGGCGGUUGCAUAAGUCAGAUGUAAAAGGCUAAGGCUUAACCAUAGUAUGCAUUUGAAACUGUGUGACUUGAGAACAGGAGAGGUAAGUGGAAUUCCUAGUGUAGCGGUGAAAUGCGUAGAUAUUAGGAGGAACACCAGUGGCGAAGGCGACUUACUGGACUGUAACUGACGCUGAGUCACGAAAGCGUGGGUAGCAAACAGGAUUAGAUACCCUGGUAGUCCACGCUGUAAACGAUGAGUGCUAGGUGUUGGGUAGCGAUACUCAGUGCCGAAGUAAACACAAUAAGCA